rnacentral:rRNA from 1 species
CGGGACGGGGUGGAGUAAUGUCUGGGAAACUGCCUGAUGGAGGGGGAUAACUACUGGAAACGGUAGCUAAUACCGCAUAACGUCGCAAGACCAAAGAGGGGGACCUUCGGGCCUCUUGCCAUCGGAUGUGCCCAGAUGGGAUUAGCUAGUAGGUGGGGUAACGGCUCACCUAGGCGACGAUCCCUAGCUGGUCUGAGAGGAUGACCAGCCACACUGGAACUGAGACGCGGUCCAG